GCGAUCUUGCAUGCUGUUGCUUUUGAUCGUCUGUGAGUGACAAACGUUUCUUGACCUCGCAAUUUACUUAGGCAUGUACGAUUAAGCGAGAAAUUUAGCCACGUCAAACUUAAUUCUUCUUAAGAAAAGAAUUCUAUCAGAACUUGAUCAGUCCGUAUACUAAUUAUUGAUAAUAAACUUUUCGGAGAAGCAUAUAUUAUAUUGAUCAAGACAACGCAUAAAAAGAUGAGUUUCAAAAUAAGCUUGUUAUUCAUGCUUGUUACCUUCAGCAUGUUUAGCACGGUAUACAUGCGUCCAUCAAAAAGAGAAGAAUCCCGUAUACGAUUUGAUUUAUGUGAUACUGAUCAUGAUUAUGGAAAUGGGUGCAAAUUUUUGUCUCCUUGCGCCAGGAAGUGGAGAUACGCGUAUAAUAAGAAUACAAGAAAAUGUGAAUUGUUUCAUUACAGUGGUUAUGGAGGAAAUUAUAAUAAUUUUCCAACAGAGGCCACGUGUAUGGGUUUGUGUCAUGGAGAUAUUUAAAUGCAUUUUUGACAUAAAAUUAUUAAGAAUUUCUUAUAUAUUGAUAUGUAUUUACAAUAGUUUGAUAUUGACUUUAAAUAGAAAACUAAAUGAAAGAUUCUGUGAAGUUUUUAUAAAAUACUUGUAAAAGUUUUAUUUUUACAUUAAAUGACUGUAAUAAAAUAAAAUUUACGAAUA